AGAGGAGUAUAGCCGACACUUCUGAACAACACGCUGGAAAAGGAAUAAACUUGGAAGAUGACAAUAAAGCCAACGGAAAAUCAAGUAAAGAUCAAAGUGAAAAUAUAGAACUCACUGUUUUUCCUGAUAAAGACGAUAUAACCACAAUAAUUGAGUCCGAUAUUUCUGAAUCGGGAAAAAGCUUACCACGAGAAGAAGAAGUCGAAACUUCUGGUUCUUCUGCCGCUCCAAAAGAGCUAGAUGAUGAUCUUUCUUCCAAUGAAACCCAAAGCGUUAGUGAGGUCUUGAAUCUGACCAGUAA